GCGAAACAAUUGUCAACACCUUUUUACAAAACAAAAGUCGGUUUUUUAUAUGUUCUAUCCCCGGUUGGCACACUGCAAUUUAUUAAUUAUGCAACGGUGAAGUGCAAAUAUGGAAUUUUAAAUACUCUUACAUCAUAUUAAGUGAUCCCAAAUGUUGUUUUUAGUACGCAAACGGCUUACAAGAUGAUUUUUGUUAUUUGGCCUAUCGAAAGCUGUUUAUUUAUACUGCGGUCUAUAAUUAAAUAUAAAUUGGUUUGAACGCAUUAUUUUUUGUUCGAGUUUACCUACAACUCCUACGAAUUCGCCUUGUUUUUUUCGAACUUGAAUAUCCUUGGAAAACGGAACGACAGCACUCGACAUCUUUAGAAAAACAACCCCUGAGAAAAACGGGCGACUGGAACAAAAGUUUGUUAUUUUCCUAUAUAGCACCCCGCACCACGGACCCCGGACCCCGGACCAUGGACCCCGGACCCCGGACCCCACAACUUGUUUUGGUUAAAUUUUUGUUACAUGUACUUCAUUACACCCCGGACCCCGCACCCUGGACCCUGGACCACCCAACUUGUUUUGGUUAAAUUUUUGUUACAUGUACUUAAUUACACCCCGGACCACGCAACCCGCACCACGGACCACGGACCCCGGACGCCGCACCCCGGACCCCGCACCACGC